rnacentral:miRNA from 8 species
AGGUCGAGAUUGGCGCAAUGCUG